GUCUUUAUUUCCUAAGGGAAUGCAGAUACUGGCAGUGGGCAUCCGGAGCAGGUGGCUGCUGGGUCACUUUGGUCAGCAGGACUGGAAGAGAGCCACUGUUUGCUCCCUGCAUGGUGUGCCAACCCUUGUGUUUGGUAGUGACAUGGCUUCUGCUGGUUGCAUCUCUGCCACUUCCUGGACAGCACCAACAUGAUCUACAUGGGCCAGAAGCCUUCAGUGUUUGGCAGUUCUAGCUGGGACGGGACUUCGCAGUCAAUCUCCUCAGCAGCAAACUAUUGCAAGUAUUGGAAGCUGUCUGCUUGCUGUGGGACCCUGAGCCAAAUUUUAUACCUGAGUCUUUAUGUUCAAGAUUGCCUGGCCUGGGCCCCUGCUAUGGGAUGCACGGUAUGGCCGACAGUUGCUUAAAAAUUAAGCAAGUGUUUGCAAAAUAAAUCCCACAUGUAGCAAUCAUGGUGAGGAUCAGGUCAGAACUUUUGGGAGGGAAGGUACAGGACUAUGCAUUGAGCUCUCCUGGAAUGGUUGCAAACUUUGCUGCCUUCUGUGCCAAGGACCAGGUGUCAUGAAAUUUCUUUUAUAGCAUAAAUAAACAGUGAUCUGUAGCUUCCUAUAGCAUAAAUACACAAUAAUCUGUAAUAUUAAACCAAACCAAACCAAACCUAAAAUUUGCCAAACCUGCACUUCUUAGGAGUGUGUCCCUGCUCCUGGUUGUACCCUUCUGCACCCUCCUUUGCUUUGGCUCUGGUACUCGCCUGGCCCCUUGGAAUACUGAUAUAGUCUACUAAUCCAGCAGAAAAGUAACCCAGCUAAAAAGAAGGUUGAAUUUUGGGCUUCCUUUAUUUAUUUUCUGUUAGGUUAGUGAGCUGCCUUGGCUCCCAGAGGGGUCAGGUGAAGGCCAGAGCUUGGGUGCAGGAGGCAGUAGGAUUGCAUGGCCUGGAAGAGGUUGUAGCAAAAGGUUAGAUGUGCUCAGCCAACUUUCUAGGCUGUUUUCUUGGUGCACCACAAGAAAGUGCCCAGAUGCAGGGGCCAGGUGCAAUGUGCAGGGCAGAAGGCACUACUGGAGAAUUUCUUUCAGCGGUGGCAAUUCUGGAGGUGAGCAGAACCUUUCCCUAUGUGGGUUAUGUUCGCCCGUUUGCUACUCAGCCCUCCACUGCUUUCAAAACCAUGCUGUGAGUACUAGGACAAAACCUUCAGCCCAGCUGUCUCUCAGCUACCAAAAUAUCUCCUUUGCCCCUUGACCAGCUGUCAAAACUUUCCUGGCCUUCCUAGAACAAGCAUCUUAGAGAAUGUUUCCCUUGGCUUAUGAGAAAUAGGAGGGAUGGACUGGAGACAACUAUUGGGACUGUGCGUUUGAUGCCAGGUGCCUGUCCUAAGCAAGCCUGUUCAUUGGGGCUGCCACCCCUCACCUUUGCAAUGCCCCCAGCUUGGUGUGCUCUGUGGGAUGAGAUUGUGGUUCAAGGAAGAAAGUGCUUCAGAUCAAAAAGUUGUGCAGCUCCAAAGCCAAGAAAAAAAGCCUUAAUUAUUCAACUAGUUUGAAACACUUUAAAGUAUCUCUAAAAAUAGGUGAGAGGGAUGUUUGUCAGCUACAAAGAGAUUAUCCUGCAGUAGUAUUGCUUGUAUUAUUUUAUGAUGAUGCUACAGAAUACAGUCCCUCAGGUAGCCUCAUUAAUGUUUAUGAAUGAACCCCUUGUUUUAUGCUCUUGGUUUUAGAAGGCAGAAAUAGGACAAGAAGCUAGUAAGACUGGUUUUACCAUAUAUGCCUUGGAAAGCCCCAGGACACGGGUGUAAGGUCUCUAUAAGCCUCAGUGGUUCUGUGUAUGGAUGACAAUUGGAUUUGGGUGCUUGCUAGACCAGCUGAGAAGGUGUACCCAUAGGGGGAAAUCCAGGCAGGGCUUUGGCUGAAAUCCUGGGUGAAAUUCAGCAUGCUUCCCUGCGGAUCUGCCAGUGGAUGUUGGCACUCCUCUGUGUUUCAUCACCCGUUUUGUUUCGAUCUGUUCCAGCAAAGGCAACCCUAUAGCCAUAAGUGCUUUCACAAGGCAGUAUCUGGUAAACCCCACUGUCUGUCAGCAUCUCAGCCCAGGGUGGAGUCUGCUUUUCACUAUCUAUUCCUUAAAGAGGGCAACUGUUUCUUCUGGCUAUCUUAAAAGAAGGGUGGCAGUUACACCCAGCCCAUAACAGUAUGUGGUGGUUUCUGAGUCUUACCGCUCCAGCCUUAAAAUAACAGUUCUUUUUUCUGAGCCAAGCAACAAUUGUGGUCAGCCACUAAUACCAGUUUAACCAUUUGGCAGCUGCUCUAUAGGGAGAAGCUCUGUCAAGAGAGCCAGGGGAGCUCUUGUCCCUGUAGCCUCAGAGCCAUGCUGGGUUGAUUUCAGUCAGAAGGGCAUGUUUACACACUUCCUUGUAUACAAUCAGCCUCUACAAUAACAACCAAAUUCUAGAAAGUUGAUACCAAACAAACUGUGGAAUUAGGUUAGAAAUAGUAAACAAAGUUGUUUUGGUGUUUUAUUUUAUGAAUGAUUGAGUAAAACUCCCUGAUCCCCCAGACAAGCAUGCAGUUGCUUGCUCUGUAGUUCCUUUCCCA